rnacentral:lncRNA from 1 species
CAUCCUAGAAUGCUGCUGUUAUAGAAGGGCCCCCUCUACCCUGGCUGCGUGGCGCUAGGUGUUUAAGUGUGAAGUCAAGGUCACAGCAGGAAACAGGAUGCAACUCCCAUAGUCCAAAGGAAGAGGCCUUCAUUAAAGGACCGUCAGAGGAUUUUCAAAAGGGCAUUUGGAGUCCAGCGUCUCCAUGUGGACUUCACCCAGUAACAAAAUAUCUUAUCAAUUUGAAGAUGAACGUUUUUCACGUUUUAACACCUCUGAAGUUGACAGAAUCUUACGGUUGCUGUUCUCCAGGUGGCAGCCAGGACGUAGCUGCUGUUGCCUGCCCUUGCACAAACCUAGAUGUUAGUCCUCAUUCAGGUUGUCUUUAAAUGAUUCGUUGACUGUGUAUGGAGGAGAGUUACAGUUGUCCGAUGUGCCUUUGGUGGACCUUUUGUGGACAUCCUUCAGUAAGAACAAUAAAGUGCCAGCAUCAAAACUUAUAGAAUGAGCAUCAGCACCUUGGAAGCAAAUCCCAGAGACAAUAUUGCAGCAGUCUUAAGAAUAUUACCAAAGCUCCUGAUAGCCCAGCUGACAAAGCAUGAAAAAUACUCUGAUCUCAACUCUCCGUUGAAAGUGAUUCAGAG